GCGCCGGUGGUGUAAGGCGAACAUCGCUGCCCGGAAAGCAGAAGAUGCGGGUUCGAGUCUCGCCUGGCGCA
rnacentral:tRNA from 1 species